rnacentral:rRNA from 1 species
AUUGAACGCUGGCGGCAGGCCUAACACAUGCAAGUCGAACGAGUGGCGGACGGGUGAGUAAUAUAUCGGAAAGUGCCUGGUGGAGGGGGAUAACUACUGGAAACGGUAGCUAAUACCGCAUACCAUCAGAUGGGCCGAUAUGGGAUUAGCUUGUUGGUGGGGUAACGGCUCACCAAGGCGACGAUCCCUAGCUGGUCUGAGAGGAUGACCAGCCACACUGGAACUGAGACACGGUCCAGACUCCUACGGGAGGCAGCAGUGGGGAAUAUUGCACAAUGGGCGCAAGCCUGAUGCAGCCAUGCCGCGUGUAUGAAGAAGGCCUUCGGGUUGUAAAGUACUUUCAGCGGGGAGGCGUUACCCGCAGAAGAAGCACCGGCUAACUCCGUGCCAGCAGCCGCGGUAAUAC